AGAUGAAUAGAGGUAGUAAAGCGUUUUUGUAAGAUUUUUGUUGAAUUUUGAUGAAUUUGCAGAAAAGGACAUGUCAGCAGCGGGUGAUCCAAAUGCUCCGAUCCCUCCUGUUUUCUCAUUUUUUUUUUAAUUUACUUUACUUUUGAAGCUUAAUCAUUAAUGUUGAAGAAGUCUGGAGGGACAUCUGUACUCCACUUCCUCGUUUUCUCCCACACGUCUCCCCAAUCCCCAUACCACCGCUUUCCCUUUCUUUUUCCAGUUGAUGUCUUCAAAAAUUCUACUCUCUCUCUGGAAAACGCUAGAGGUCACCGCCACUGCCACCGCCAACGCCACAUACACGGACCACCACCAUUAUCAUCGACCCUCGUCAUCUCCACAAUCGCACGACAGUAGCAGUGGUGAGGAAGGACGAGCGUAAUGAUGGAAUUGGAUUUAAAACAUCAACCUCAUUCAUAUGAUUUGUUUCAGUGAUGACUAGCUUGGAAUAGUUGGAAUAAUGGUGGUUAGGUCAUCAUAAAUCGAGUUCUCUGAGGAUCGGUUCUUCAUAACCAUUGGCCAUGUUUUUUGUUCGGCUCGACCUUACUUCAGUUUUUUAGUAACUUUUGAACUCUAUAUGUUUCAGGUGGGGGUUUUUGUUUGAUUGUGUUAUACUUCAAUUGAACCCUAAUUUCAGGUUUUCAAAUUUCAUAGUACACAUCUAUCUCUAUCUGUCAUAUAAUCCUAUGCUCCUAUCAUGUUUAGGGCGUGUUUGGCAAAGUAGCUGUUAGCUGGAAGCGGGUAGCGGUUAGCUGGUAGCGUGUAGCUGGUAGCCGGUUUCAUAUUGGUAUUUGAGUUCUUUUUGUUGACGAAAACUUGCUUGAAGUUAUAGAUGGACUUGUAAGAAAUGCAAAGAUCAAGAGUAAGUUUUGCAGAAAAUUUACCUAAAAGGAUUCUUAAUUUGACAAAUAUGGGUAGAAUUACCAGGGAAAAUGUUGCAACUCAUAUCCAGGUAUGUGAAAAUUUUCUUUAUAAUGCAUUAUUUGCUGAGUGGAUAAAGAAAAUUUUUCAAAGCAAGUGUUUUAUACAUUAAGUUUGUUUUUUGGACUAGAUGGACUUUUUGAAUAUGAAUAAAAGGUUGUUUUACCUUUGUGUUUACUAGGGCAUUUAUAAGUAACCUAUGAAAAAACAUGUUAAUUCUUGGUGAGUAAAUGGGGAACAUAGGUUUCGCUUCAUAAUUAUAUGUUUUACACUCAACUAGAUUAAAACCCGCGUUAAACGCGGGGAGCAUAUAAAAAACAUUGAAUUGUAAAAAUAUAUUACAUCAUAGGAAGCAUGACAAUUAAAAGUAGAUUACCAUAGGUAUUUUAAAUUCAUUAACAUACAUUACAAUAGCUAUUUUAAUUUCAUAACAAUUAAAAGAAUAAAUAAAAAAAACUAAUAAAUCAUAGAAUAAUAUAAAAUAUUAAAAUAGUUCAUUACAAUAAAAACAAGUAUGUUCGAAUCCAAAUUAAAAUAUAUAUAAUCAGUAAUAUCGACUUGGCAUAGUCACUGUAUCAAAAUAAGAACGGAUUGAAAAAACUUGUUGAGAGUGAUGUUCCGGAACCACAUACUCAAUCGUAUUUCGUCUAUAGAAAUAUAAGGUAUUGUUUCUAUAAUCCCACCAUUCAUGUGCACUUUCAUUGUAAGUACUAUCAUCUACUUUAACCCACCGAUUGCGAAUGAAAAUCCAAAUAGCCCACGAACUAUCUCCACUGAGAGAUAUCCUAAUUUUCCGUGAAACUUGAUUAGUCUCGAUGCAUACGGUUUUAAUUCAUUAAUAGUAGAAGGUGCAAAUAUGAGUAUAUGUUCUUCUGAAUAAAUAUCAAAUCGCAAUAUGGUAUCAUUAGAUAAUAAGAAGUAUAAGGAACCACCACUUGUAACUGCCUCAUCAGAGAUAGGAUAAACAGAUAAUGGUAACCGGAUAUUUUGAAACUCCCUCCAUUGCCAUGUAGUAGAUGAAAACAAUUCUAUGUUGUAGUAAUCAUAGUCCACUUUUUCCGUAGGCAUAUCACUACAAAUAAAAUAACAUAUAAGUAAAUCAUAAAGUAAAUUAAUAACAUAAAAUGUACUACAUAUAAACUCUUACGAUGGCUUUGUGUAUGACAAUCGAAUGACCUUGAAAUGUAACGUGUUCGAACUGAUAACUACCAAAGCAAACUUUG